rnacentral:rRNA from 1 species
GUGCCAGCAGCCGCGGUAAUACGGGGGGGGCAAGCGUUAUCCGGAUUUACUGGGUGUAAAGGGAGCGUAGGCGGCCAUGCAAGUCAAAAGUGAAAACCCGGGGCUCAACCCUGGGAGUGCUUUUGAAACUGUGCGGCUAGAGUGUCGGAGGGGUAAGUGGAAUUCCUAGUGUAGCGGUGAAAUGCGUAUAUAUUAGGAGGAACACCAGUGGCGAAGGCGGCUUACUGGACGAUGACUGACGCUGAGGCUCGAAAGCGUGGGGAGCAAACAGGAUUACAUACCCUGGUAGUCCACGCCGUAAACAAUGAAUACUAGGUGUCGGGGGUCAUAAUACUUUCGGUGCCGUCGCAAACGCAGUAAGUAUUCCACCUGGGGAGUACGUUCGCAAGAAUGAAACUCAAAGGAAUUGACGGGGACCCGCACAAGCGGUGGAGCAUGUGGUUUAAUUCGAGGCAACGAGAAGAACCUUACCAGGCCUUGACAUCCUGUUGACCAUCAGAGUAAUGUCUGACUUCCUUCGGGACAACAGAGACGGGUGGUGCAUGGUUGUCGUCAGCUCGUGUCGUGAGAUGUUGGGGUUAAGUCCCGCAACGAGCGCAACCCUUACCCUUAGUAGCCAGCGGUUCGGCCGGGCACUCUAGGGGGGACUGCCAGGGAUAACCUGGAGGGAGGGCGGGGAUGACGUCAAAUCAUCAUGCCCCCUUUAUGGGUCUGGGGCUACACACGUGCUACGAUGGGCGGCCACA